GCAGGGAAGAGGAAGAAAGAGAGGUCCUAAGAGCAGUAGGAAUGGGAACAUGAAGGAAUGAGAAUGCUCUAGUUUCUCCUCUAGCAUUAGAGGACAUUUGCAUUCUUGCAUUCCUGAUGCCUCUCAUUCCUAUGGUUCUUAGGUGCUCCUUCCUCUUCCUUCCGUUC
rfam:Dichanthelium oligosanthes cultivar Kellogg 1175 unplaced genomic scaffold Do_version_2_scaffold159, whole genome shotgun sequence.